UUAAGUUGUUUUUACUUUUAUUUUUAUUGAUUAGUUAUUUAUUUGAAAUAUCUUUAUUUUUAGUAUUUUACAGAAUUUAUUUUAUUAGUUAUAGUUUAUUUUACUGUGAGGGUUUAUUUUUAUUAUGGUAUAAGUAGGAUUUUACUUCCGUACCUUUUGCAUCAGGGUUUAUUUAAAUUUUUUAGUUAUUUACUAGGUUUCCCGAGAUUGGGAGAGAUAAAUCAGAAUGAUUGGUUUUUGUAAUAACAAGAUUUGUAAUUCUGAUUUAGGGGUGAUAUAUUAUUCGUUCCUAAUGUUAUCUGGUUCUUUAAGAAUUGUAUUUAAUACAGGAAUUUAUUUUUAUUAAUUAAAUUAAUUACUUUAAGUUCUUAAUUUAGAAGGGAUUAGCUUUCUAGGUUUCCUAUAGUGUAUUUUUGAAUGAGAGUUUGUAGGCUUGGAAAUAGUCUUUUUAGUUUGUUAUAAUUAUCUCUUACUUGAUUUUUAUUUAUUUUGUGCUUAGAUAUUUAUUAAAGUUCUUACUUUAAUUUAUUAAUUGAGGUAAUAAUGAUAGAAUUAGUAGUACUGUCAAUUGAGAUUUAGGAACUCGGCAAUUUUAGCUCUCGCCUGUUUAUCAAAAACAUGGUCUAUUGUAUAUUUAUUUUAGAUCUGACCUGCCCAAUGAUUUUAUUGAAUGGCCGCAGUAUACUGACUGUGCAAAGGUAGCAUAAUCAAUUGUCUUUUAAUUGGAGGCUUGCAUGAAUGGUUUGACGAGGGGCUGUCUUUCUUAAUUUUAUUUUAUGAAUUUAAUUUAUUAGUUCAAAAGCUAAUAUUUGUUUGUAGGACGAGAAGACCCUGUAGAAUUUUAUAUUCUAUUUUUUAUUUUGUUUUAUUUUUAUUUCAUUAUAGUUGAUAUAGUAUUUUGUUGGGGUGACAGAGUAAUUUCAAGAACUUACUUUGAUUUGUUUCACUGAUUAGUGUUUUAUUGAUCCUGAUUUUUGGAGAGAAAGAACUAAUUACCUCAGGGAUAACAGCGUAAUUUUUUCGGAGAGUUCAUAUCGAUGAAGGAGAUUGCGACCUCGAUGUUGGAUUAAAGUUAGUGUAAGGUGUAGCAGUCUUAUUAUUAGGNNNNNNNNUAACACAUUUACAAAAUGUAUUUCAUUAUAGUUGAUAUAGUAUUUUGUUGGGGUGACAGAGUAAUUUCAAGAACUUACUUUGAUUUGUUUCACUGAUUAGUGUUUUAUUGAUCCUGAUUUUUGGAGAGAAAGAACUAAUUACCUCAGGGAUAACAGCGUAAUUUUUUCGGAGAGUUCAUAUCGAUGAAGGAGAUUGCGACCUCGAUGUUGGAUUAAAGUUAGUAUAAGGUGUAGCAGUCUUAUUACUUGGUCUGUUCGACCAUUGAUUCUUUACAUGAUCUGAGUUCAGACCGGCGUGAGCCAGGUCGGUUUCUAUCCACAUAUAGUUGUAAUACUUUAGUACGAAAGGACCAAGUAUUAGGAAUAGUUUCUUUAUUUAUGAAUCUUAUUAAUU
rnacentral:rRNA from 1 species